ACUUAAAUAGUUUAAUUAAAAUGUUGAUUUGUGGGGUCAAGGAUAUAGCAAUAUUUUAGGUA
rnacentral:tRNA from 1 species